GUGAGGAAUAUUGGUCAAUGGGCGGGAGCCUGAACCAGCCAAGUCGCGUGAAGGAUGAAGGUUUUAUGAAUUGUAAACUUCUUUUGCAGGGGAAUAAAGUACGGUACGUGUACCGUUUUGUAUGUACUCUGCGAAUAAGGAUCGGCUAACUCCGUGCCAGCAGCCGCGGUAAUACGGAGGAUCCAAGCGUUAUCCGGAUUUAUUGGGUUUAAAGGGUGCGCAGGCGGGUUGAUAAGUCAGCGGUGAAAGUUUGCAGCUUAACUGUAAAAUUGCCGUUGAAACUGUCGAUCUUGAGUGCAAAUGAGGUAAGCGGAAUGUGUUGUGUAGCGGUGAAAUGCUUAGAUAUAACACAGAACACCGAUUGCGAAGGCAGCUUACUGGGAUGCAACUGACGCUCAUGCACGAAAGCGUGGGGAUCAAACAGGAUUAGAUACCCGGGUAGUCC
rnacentral:rRNA from 1 species